rnacentral:rRNA from 1 species
CCGGCGACCGGCGCACGGGUGAGUAACACGUAUGCAACCUGGCCGUGACAGAUGGAUAACCGGGAGAAAUCCCGCCUAAUACAACAUAAUGCCGGGAGGGGACAUCCCCUGCCGGUCAAAGGGGGCGACCCCGGUCAUGGAUGGGCAUGCGGCGCAUUAGGUAGUUGGUGGGGCAACGGCCCACCAAGCCGACGAUGCGUAGGGGUUCUGAGAGGAAGGUCCCCCACAUUGGAACUGAGACGCGGUCCAAACUCCUACGGGAGGCAGCAG